AGCUCAAAUUUGAAAUCUGGCUCCGGCCCGAAUUGUAAUUUGUAGAGGAUGCUUUUGGCGCGGCGCCUUCCGAGUUCCCUGGAAUGGGACGCCAUAGAGGGUGAGAGCCCCGUAUGGUUGGAUGCCAAACCUCUGUAAAGCUCCUUC
rnacentral:rRNA from 1 species